rnacentral:lncRNA from 1 species
ACCAUGUUUGGGUGCGUCAGUACUAAUCCGCGAUUCGUUGGGCGAAUAAGAGUAUUUAGUUACUUUGAGUAAUUAGAAAAUAUAUCCUUUUUAGGUAUUGUGGUUUCCAAGGUAUUUUAGUUGAACUAUCCAAGAUUGAAGAUGUUAAUUGGGAUAGACCAAAAUCUGUGAAUUAGGUUCAUGGCUUCUUGCGCCUGGCGGAGUAUUUUCAAAGCUUUUUUGAAAGGUUUUCAAAGAUACCAACUUCUUUGACUAAGUUGCCUACAAGAGGAGUUAUGUUUGAGUGGUCUAGAUCCAGGUUUCAGUAUUUUUCAGUCGACACUAGUGCUACGGAUCAAGGAUGGACAUAGUUAUGAUCAAGGUUCUAAUUCCGAGGAUGGAAUUUAUUUUAAGGAGGGGAUGUGUAAAACUGCCACUAUUUUAAAUACCAGGUUAAUUAUAUUAGGAUAACCUUUCCAGAAUAUAUAUAUAUAUAUAUAUAUAUAUAUAUAUAUAUAUAUAUAUAUAUAUAUAUAUAUAUAUAUAUAUAUAUAUAUAUAUAUAUAUAUUCAGUCUUAAAAAACUUGAGGUUUAAGUGCAUAAAAAAUAUUUUGGACUUUGAGGAAAAUAUAUAAGUUUACAUUAUUAGACCCUAAACAUAAACCGGUGUAUUCUACUUCUCCAAUGACGACUUUUCCUUCCCUCUCUUGAUAUUUUUCUUCUUCUAUCUUAUACAACUUUCGUAUUUUGUUUGGGUUUCAGAGAUUGAAGAUUUGAAAGGUCCUUGCGCUGUUCAAGAUAUCGUAUCCUGGUAAAUUUUCGUAAUACCCUCCAUGUAUAAGGUAUUAGUUUUGAGAUUGAUGGAAGAACUAAAAUUUAUUAUUGAUGUUGUUAGGAUCUUAUUUGUAUUGAUUUAUCAAGCUUAAGGAGGUUGAAUUUGAUUACUGAAGAACUUUUUCUAGGGUGAGGGAUAAACCAUACUUUUCGGAUUGUUACCUCCCUUGUUAUUCAUUAUUUUUGGCAUUAUAAAAUUCGUAAUCUCAUUUAUUGACAUUUGUAUACAUGAACAUAACAUGUAUUCAUCGUCUUGUAUUAUGUUUUGGGUUUUGAAAUUCAUUUAGUAUCAAAUUAAAACAUUGUGUUUUCGCACGAUUGUACUCUACUUUGAUUUGUGAUAUCUCGAGCGUUACUUACAAUUUUAAUAACCUUGAAUGUUCGCUGAUUUUGCUUUGUUGACUGCUUAAAAUGUCAUUUACUGUGUUCAAUGUUCUAAAAGGCGGGAGGCGGGCGGCCGCGGGGGCAAGCGUCUAGGGGUUUUAAGUCAAUUUUAAUAUUUUAUCUUACAUUUAUUCAAACAAAACAAUAAUAUAAAGCAAAACAAUUUAUAAUAAAGAUAAUACCGGUUUUUGCUUAAAGUUCAAACAUAUAUCCAUAUUGCCAAUGUCAAAGUUCAAACACAAACAUGCAAUUGUUGAAAGUUCACGUAUUAGUUUUAUUCAUAAACAAAAUUGUUAUUAAAUAAUAAAAUUUAAAAUUCAAGAAUUCAAUUCAAUAUUAAAACUUAAGAAAUUAAACAUAAAUUUAAGAAUUAUAUUGAACUAAAUAUUACAAAUGUAUCAUCAUUUAUAUAAUUCGAAGUUAGUACAAGUUCAAAAAAUUACAACUAUAAUAAAAUUAUCCAUUUUGACUUGAUAUUGUUCACUUCUUGUUGUGAUUUGAUAAGCUACAACAUGCAUUAUGAAUAAUGUAAAUCAUUAGAAAAAUAAAUAUAUUAAGAUCUGGUUUGAGUAGUUAUUAAAAUAAAAAAAAAUUCUCCGCCUAGACUUCUUUCUCGCCUAGGCCCCGCCUAAUUUUCCGAAGGGAUUUUUUUGCCGCCCUGGGCCUGAGUGAAGCGCCAGGGGGCCUAGAGCCUAGGCGGGGCACCAAGGGGGCCUUACCGCCUAGGCGGGGAUUUUUAUAACACUGACUGUGUUGCUGUGUAAAUCUUUUUGCGACACAGUGACAAAACUUCGACUUUUUUUUUUUUCAUUUGUUAUCCAAAAAUUUGAAGCCUUGCCAUUUUAGAAAGAUUAUGAAAUCCUCUACAUCAUCAAGUUUAAGCUUUUCCUAAAUCUUUCAUCUUGAUAGACUAAACAGCUUGUUAAGUCAGUAAAGUAGAUCUGUCUCAAAGCUAAUGAAACUGAAAACUUGUUUAAUGCUCACCUUUUUCAUUCUUUGAACAAGAUUUGUGAUUGUUUUGGAGCCUUUGGGGUUCCCUUUGAUUCAGAAUUGUUGGAUUUAUUACUUUUUUUUUGAAAUUGAGAAAUAGUGCACAUACUUUAAUUUAUAAAUUUUUUGGUUUUGGACCUGGAAGGUGAUUGGAACUAGUCAUUAAGUUAUGAACACCUUACUUUGUAUUUACUUGUGAGGGGUCUUAAAAAGACUAUAAUAGCUAUUGUUCCAUUUUGAUAUUUGAGGCAACACCUCAUCUUUAUAGGCCAGUGUUGUAGACUUGUUAGCAUUUGGCCAGUGCUUCUCUUUUGUUUGGCAUGUACUCUGUAGAUGUGUCAGUUCGGAUGCAUUUGGCUUAUUAAUCUACCCAUGUAAAUUGUAAUUUUCAUUAUUUUUGUAUUGUUAUUAUUGUAUCAUCAGCAGCAUUUACUUGCAAAUUGAUAUUUGUUUAGCUUAAUGCUAAUUAGUCCAUUUACUCUUUGGAGUCUCAGUUCUCUGUGACCUAAACUUGCGGUCACACCUCAUUCAGUGGUGUGGUGGGUUUGGAGCCCAACAUAGUGACUGUGUUGUGUGACUGCUGGACUGCUACUGAGCCUUAUUUUGGACUUUACACCCUAUAUUUUCCAAACCUAACUACAAUCAAUUUAUCCAAAAAUAGCAAUACAAAAUAAAUUUCUAAUAUGCACUUGGAAAUUACAUUAGUUUUCUUUUCCUUUUCCGCAUCACUGACUCCCUUCGAGACCUAUAAGAACUUCCUGUUGAGCUCGCUAUAAUCGUACAAUAGAAACAAAAGAUCUUCAUACCAGUAAUUAGUAAGAGAAAAGAUCAUCCCAUAGAGCUCCCUUAUGCACAAUGUAGCCGAUUCCUAAAUCCUUCUUACGCAUAUAUAACUUAUUCAUAACAAAUCUUACUAUUUUGCAUGCGCUAUCCUUGGUCAGAAUUGCCACCAUUAGGCGCUAUCCACGAGAAGAGAAAAAGGGCCACCUUCGGGACACUGCCCUCCAAAUUCUCUACCAUAGAAAACCCUUAUCAGUUAUCACCACUUUGAAUCUUCAAAAGAAAGGCAAAAUGCUGAACCUGCGGCUACUAUAAAGACGUCACUUCUGAGUACUCAAUGCUGCUAAAGAGGCCAAUCUAAUUAAGAGUUACAACUGUACAUCUACCUCUUCCAGCUCUUAGUCCUUAAAAUGCUGAUGAAACAUUGGCUGGCACGAUAGAGUACCAUUUGUAAUCACCACGUAAGCCUCAAUCUUGUUUCUAGGUUCACAACAUAAAUUUUGGAAUCUCUCAUAUUAAGUUGAGUAACCUCCCUCGACCAAAUGUCUUUCCUAAAGGUGAUUUACCGACUAUUUCCUACUUCAAAAGCAACAUACCUAGCAAAGUGCCCCUAAAACCCAACAGUGGACUUUCCCAAGCGAACCUCAAGGGGCCUUUCUCGACCCUAAUGUGAUCCAUCUACAUGAACCCCUCCCAAUUAUAAGACGUCAACCCUCUUCCACAACUUAUCCUCCUCUACGACAAAAUGCCAAGGAUUUUUCCCUGGUUGAGAUUGACUAAACACGUCAAAAUCUUGAACAACCAAACUCCCAUACUCUUGCGGGGAACAAACUUUUUCCUAAACCAGUUGGUACUUGGCUCACUUGUCAUUCCUUGACUGCAAGAAAUUACAAACCAACUUCUUCAAUUUUUUCCUGGAACAAAGUCAACAGCUUCAACAAAAAACUAUAGCAAGUGGGUGGGCUUGUCAAAGUAAUUUUAGUAAGGUCUACCUACCCCUUUUGACAAGUAAUGCUUCUUCCACAAGUGUUUUUUUGGCUCAAGUCUCUCAAACACAUGAUCCCAAUUGACUUUCGGCUUAUGCUUAGUCCCUAAAUGAAGUCCAAGAUAGUCUUUGCCUUUUUACAUGGACCUCCAACCCCUAGAAGGAUCCUCAAAGGACACAACAUAGACACACCUAUUUUUAGAACAUUUUGGUUCCUUUUUCACAAAAUUGUCGUGUCCGACACCCGCAUCUGUACCCGUGGGUACUUCAGGAUUUGAGAAGAGUCCAUGUAACAUAGGUCUUCGCAAGUACACACAUAGCAACCAAGAAUGCAAGUUAAAGGCUCCACAUCUCAAAAAGAAUGAAAGAACCUUUAAAAUAGUAAAACACGUCUUAGGACUGCACUGCAAUUGGCAAGGGCACACAUCACAAAAAAAAUUAUGGUAUCGUCAGCAACAACUAGCGAGAGAUGGUGCUACUAGGCUAACCAAGCCUAAACCCCUAAAUCAACCCAACUGUCAAAAUUCUCUCCAAUAAGCGACUAAACACCUCCAUAGUGUUCAAAAAAGCGUUAGGCAUACCUAGGCAGCGGAGGGAGCUUCAACCAUUAUUUUUACGACUGUUUUUCACUUUAUCUUUGUGUACCAGUACAACUGUCUUCCCCCAUUAAAUACAUGUUUAAAAUUUGGAUCUAGUGGAUUCUGAAGAGAAGUGAAUUGGGACUUCAUUGGUUCAUACCCAUUAUAGGUCUUUCAGCUUGUUGGUUGACUGAAGCGUUUUAUUCGAUUUGCAGUUGCACCAAUUUUAUAUAUGAGAUCUCUUUCUUUUUAGAAUUGUUUUUAUCUUUUUUUUAAUAAUGUAAAUGGAUCAAAAUUUAGUUGCACAAAAUUUUACAAACUUGUUUCCAAGGAUUCUGUUUUUGCUACUUGGUAUACUUUAGCACCUGUUAGAUUCUUCCUCCAGUUGUACUUGUUUCUUUAUCUUAAUAGUAAUAUAACAUGAACAUCUUUAUGAUGUUCAAAAUAUAGUCCUGGGGUGCCCCUUAGCCAUUGUAAUAUGUUACUUUCUUAAUACACUUUAAAUUUAGCAAAAAAAAUAAAAAUAAAUUUAAUUAUUUAAGAAUUCUUGACAUUUUAUUUUGGUUAUAUUGGAAUCACAAAUCCUUAGAAAGUUUAAGUCCUGCAUUUCUUAUGUUUCCUAAGCUCUUAUUUUUGGUCCAACUAUUAAACUAGGGAAAUUUUGUUUUUUGCUCAAAUCUCAAAUAGUUGCUAGAGUACUACAGAUAUAAAAGUGGUUUUCCUGCUUUCCUUUAUUUUGUGAUGUGAUGCUUUGUGUCAAGUGUAGCUUCUUGUUAAUGACUAUUGUUGAUUGAAAUGCUCAUUAUUCUUAAAAAUGUUUUCAGUAUAAUUACCUUUUUUUCUGGUGUUCUGGUAUCAAUAAAAGGUGUAAUUUUGUCAAGUCACUUCGUGAUAGACUCUAAACUUCCUCACUAUAUUUAUGUAUCAGUCACUUUCUCAAGCAUCCUUUUAUAAGAAAGAGACGAAUAAUGAAACUAAUGCUCUGGUUCUUGAAUCUUAAUACAACUUCAUAGAAUUAUUGGUCAACACUUGAAUCAUUAGGUGUUGACCAGAUUGUUAAACACUUAAUGCAGAUUGGGCUACUAUUUAUAAGCAAUGCUAGUUAAAUCAUUAAUUUGGCUAUGAUAAGUUAAUGUUCGAGGGUGCUUCUUUUGCAGACAUAAUUACCUAUUUCCUCAAGAGUUGAAAGAUCAUGAUCUCCUUCCUUCACCAACUUCUGGGAAAUUGAUCACCACAAUGUAAAUCUGUAAGUUAUUUUUACGUUACCACCCUCAGUGCUUCAUUUUGGAGGCUAAUUCGGUACGUUAAAAUAAGUAUAAUUACUACUAGAGAUGUAAAUGAACUUAGUUGUUCGCGAACAAAGCUCAGCUACUCGACUCGAGUUGGAACAAGGAAUCAUGUUCUCUUAAUUAAAUGAGCCGAGCUCGAGUUUAGACUUGUUUAAGCUCGAGUCGUCUAAGCUCAGUUUGAGCUCGCUUAAGCUCAGCUCAUUUAUUAUUUAAUUAAUUAUUAAAUAACUAUUUUUACACACACAUAUGUAUAUAAAAAUAAUUAAUUUAAUAAUUAUUUAAAUUUGCUUUAGCUCAACUAAAGCUUGGCUUGACUUGAGCAGGCCCGAUUUGAGCUCGAGUUGAAUUCGAACAAUAUAUUGAGGUUCAUUUAAAGCUCGUCUCGACUUGAGCUCGUUUAACUUUUAGUUGAGCUUGGUAAGCCAAAGCUUGAGUCGGCUUGACUCGUUUACAAUCCUAAUUACUACACUGAAGUUCAUUUUCACCCUAAUAUUGUUUUCAGCUUAUUAAUGUGGACAAUCAUUUUCCUUCACAGUUUAUUUCUUUCACUUCUAUAACGAUUGAAUUGCUUCGACACCGAACUGCAUUGUUUUCAUGCCUGCUGUGAUUCUGAAUUCGCUGCUAGGUGAGAAUACUCUUCGUUAGGAGAUUAGGCUGUUUGUAUUCUUAGUCUGUUUAACGUGUGGGAUAAGGUGCCAUUUUGAAGCUGAGGAGGAAUAUCCAUAAAUUUAGCAGUUGUAGCUGGACAGUUUGUGGGUUUAACUGUUCAGAGUCCUCAUUCUUUUUAGAUACUGAAUUUGUCGAUAUGCCAAUUGGCUUGUGUAACAUUGGAAGUUAUUAUUAUUAUUUUUGGUUAACACCAGUGUAACAUUGUAAGAGUGUUUGAUUUGUAUAGUAUGAUUCUCUUUGUAAUUAUACUUCACUUUAUCUUCAUAAUACAUGUCGAGGAUGAGUCUUAAUUUUUCUGUUGACUUGUACAUAGUUAUUUUUUCC